GAUGAACGCUGACAGAAUGCUUAACACAUGCAAGUCUUUGGCGAAGCUGUGCUUGCACAGCCUAGCCAAGGCGGACGGGUGAGUAACGCGUAAGGAUCUUGCCCUGCAGUCAGGGAUAACAGACGGAAACGACUGAUAAGACCUGGUAAAGUCAGGCGGACUCAUGUCCAGCCUGAUGAAAAGUGAUGCUGCAGGAGAGCCUUGCGUCCUAUUAGCUUGUUGGUGGGGUAACGGCCCACCAAGGCGAUGAUAGGUAGCCGGCCUGAGAGGGUGGACGGCCACAAGGGGACUGAGAUACGGCCCUUACUCCUACGGGAGGCAGCAGUGUGGAAUAUUGGACAAUGGGGGCAACCCUGAUCCAGCAAUUCUGUGUGCACGAUGAAGGUUUUCGGAUUGUAAAGUGCUUUCAGCAGGGAAGAAAAAAAUGACGGUACCUGCAGAAGAAGCGACGGCUAAAUACGUG
rnacentral:rRNA from 1 species